GUGGGCUGUCUGUAUGGGAUCAGCAGGAUCUCACUAUGGGAUCAGUAGGAUCUCUCUAUGGGAUCAGCAGGAUCUCACUAUGGGACCACCAGGCUGUCCGUAUGGGAUCAGUGGGCUGUCUGUAUGGGAUGAGUGGGCUGUCUGUAUGGGAUCAGUAGGAUGUCACUAUGGGAUCAGCAGGCUGUCACUAUGGGAUCACCGCAACGUCACCAUGGGAUCAGAAGGCUGUCUGUAUGGGAUCAGUAGGAUGUCACUAUGGGAUCAGAAGGCUGUCACUAUGGGAUCACCGCAACGUCACCAUGGGAUCAGCAGGCUGUCUGUAUGGGAUCACCAGGAUGUCCCUAUGGGAUCACCAAGCUGUCCCUAUGAGAUCAGCAGGAUGUCACUAUGGGAUCAGCAGGCUGUCUGUAUGGGAUCAGCAGACUGUCCCUAUGGGAUCUGUAGGCUGUCCGUAUGGGAUCAGAAGGCUGACCUAAUGGGAUCAGUGGGCUGUCUGUAUGGGAUCAGCAGGCUGUUCCUAUGGGAUAAGCAGGAUCUCUCUAUGGGAUCAGUAGGAUCUCACUAUGGGACCACCAGGCUGUCCGUGUGGGAUCAGUGGGCUGUCUGUAUGGGAUGAGGCGGCUGUCCAUAUGGAAUCAGUGGGCUGUCUGUAUGGGAUCAGUAGGAUCUCACUAUGGGACCACCAGGCAGUCCGUGUGGGAUCAGUGGGCUGUCUGUAUGGGAUGAGGCGGCUGACCUAAUGGGAUCAGUGGGCUGUCUGUAUGGGAUCAGCAGGCUGUCACUAUGGGAUCAGCAGGCUGUCCGUAUGGGAUCAGCGGGCUGUCUGUAUGGGAUCAGUGGGCUGUCUGUAUGGGAUCAGCAGGAUCUCACUAUGGGACCAUCAGGCUGUCCGUGUGGGAUCAGCGGUGUGGUGCUGUGCGGUGCGGGGCGGUACGGUGCGGUGUGGGGUGGGGUGGGGU
rnacentral:lncRNA from 1 species